GAUGAUGUAAAGGCGAGCAUGUCAGGCUCAUUACCUGAAUGUGAUGGUUCGAUUCCAUCUCGUCUCCU